rnacentral:rRNA from 1 species
GAUGAACGCUGGCGGCGUGCCUAAUACAUGCAAGUCGAGCGAACGGACGAGAAGCUUGCUUUUCUGAUGUUAGCGGCGGACGGGUGAGUAACACGUGGAUAACCUACCUAUAAGACUGGGAUAACUUCGGGAAACCGGAGCUAAUACCGGAUAAUCUUUUGAACCGCAUGGUUCAAAAGUGAAAGACGGUCUUGCUGUCACUUAUAGAUGGAUCCGCGCUGCAUUAGCUAGUUGGUAAGGUAACGGCUUACCAAGGCAACGAUGCAUAGCCGACCUGAGAGGGUGAUCGGCCACACGGGAACGGAGACACGGUCCAGACUCCUACGGGAGGCAGCAGUAGGGAAUCUUCCGCAAUGGGCGAAAGCCUGACGGAGCAACGCCGCGUGAGUGAUGAAGGUCUUCGGAUCGUAAAACUCUGUUAUUAGGGAAGAACAUAUGUGUAAGUAACUGUGCACAUCUUGACGGUACCUAAUCAGAAAGCCACGGCUAACUACGUG